UGCGUAGGCGGGGUAAUAAGUCAGUGGUGAAAUCCUGCAGCUUAACUGUAGAAUUGCCAUUGAUACUGAUCUUCUUGAAUUUAGUUGAGGUGGGCGGAAUGUGUAAUGUAGCGGUGAAAUGCUUAGAUAUUACACAGAACACCGAUUGCGAAGGCAGCUCACUAAACUAACAUUGACGCUAAGGUACGAAAGCGUGGGGAGCGAACAGGAUUAGAUACCCUGGUAGUCC
rnacentral:rRNA from 1 species